GAAGGUGGGUGGGGUGGGUGGUAGAGGCUAGGGGUUAAUGCUCUCCGAGGCAUGGGGAUGUACUAUUACCAUCAUCAUCAUCAUCAUAUCAGCCGAUGGACGUCCACUGCACUCCACGAUGGAUGGACAUCGAGUGACGUUAUAUCCGUCAGACUACUAUUUCCAACAAUAGACACUAUCAGGGAUUAUCCUGAGAAACCCAUGUUUAUCGCGGUAUUUGGGAAAAAUGAAAUUUCCUCAAACAGCGUCGAGGGUUAUCGCUAGGUUAUAAUUAAUAAGUUAAAAGGUCGUCAAAUUAAAAAAUAAAAUCAUAAUAACUGAUUAAAGAAAACAAUACAAUAGCAAUUGGCUAGUUGUUGGUGAGACAUCACUUUAAACUCUCGUUGAGUACACGUCAAUUUCAUUACUUUUACCAAUAUGAAAUUUAUCUUCGCUUUUUGUUUAUUCGUCGUGAUCGGGUUGUCAUUAGCCGUUAUCCCCGAGUCUGAUAGGGGUUGUAUUUACGGGUUAAAAGGGAAAUGCCUUCAUUACUGCGAGGAAGGCACCCAUUCCUACUCACCAGGAUGUGGUCACUUCUUACCGGAAGCUACUUGCGAUAGUCCUGAGCCAGAGCUGGACAUUACUAGCCAUGUCUGCGACUUCUCUGCUAGCUACUGUGACGCUCCUGCAGUACGGGAUACUGCUUCUGGAAAAUGCGUGCCAAUUGAAGAAUGUAGUAGCGGAUAUCAAUAUAUUGAUUUUUAAACUUGAAACGGGCAUUUGGUAAUGAUAUUAGCCGUGAUUUAUCAGCCCCCUAUGCUCCUACCAAAGAUAAGUACAGUAGAAUACUAUGAAGUUUCCAAAAACACGUCGAAAACGCAUGCCUUUGAGAGGUAGCAGAAUUCAAAUGUCGAAGCGUUAUUUUUGUUAUGAAAAAUCAUAGUCGCUUAAUUUAUUGAUUACCCCUAAAAAAUUAUCUUUAAAGAUUAAAGAUUUAAGGAUCUCCAGCGAAGAAUUGUCACGAAAUAGAGAAAAAGUUGACGACAAUUUUAAGGUCUGGAAACGCUCUACUUCCUUCAAGCCAACAUGAUCGAAACUUUACAGUUUUCUACCGUACUUACUUAUGAUAGGAAAUUUUCAGAUUUCAGAUAACAUAAUUAUAGACUGGUCAUCAUAGUAGCAAAAAUAUGCCGAAUGCGGUUGAUUCGACCGCACGAGGCCGCGAACCCGUAGGAAAUGAGUUAUUUGCAAAAAUAUCGAUUUUCGUGACCUUUGUCCUCAAAUUACUUAGCUUAUAGCUUUUGAGACAACUUAUAGAAUGCUAAAACAUUUUAGCUAAGUUAAAUUUUAAGCUAAAAUACAAGUUUGUACUAAUACUCAGCUGAUUAUCUAUUUGUCUUGAUUUUGAAUAAUUAAAUAAUUAUUUGUA